AAGAGUUAGGGUCUUCUAGGCCCGAUCUCCCAACCCUUUGUUUAUUGAACCUCUGUUGCUUCGGCGGACCCGUCUCGCGGCCGCUGGAGGACCGCUGAAAGGCGUCCUCUGGCCAGCGUCCGCCGAUGGCCAACCCACUAAACUCUGAAUGAAUCGUGUCAUAUGUCUAAGUCUAUGAUUAAAUUAAAGCA
rnacentral:misc_RNA from 1 species